rnacentral:lncRNA from 1 species
GUCGUCGUGCUGCAGCGGGGUGAGGACCCUCAACGGCAAGGCCUCGUCGUCGGCCGACCGCCGCACCGCCUGCAGCUGCCUCAAGAACAUGGCCUCCUCCUUCAGGAACCUCAACAUGGGCAACGCCGCCUCCAUCCCCAGCAAAUGCGGCGUCUCCGUCGCCUUCCCCAUCAGCACCUCCGUCGACUGCUCCAAGUAUUCUACAUUUUCUCUCUCUCUAUCUUCAUUUGCUCCAUCCAUGUGUUGGCCUAAUUAAGCUAAUUUCCUCUUUCCUUUUUUAUGCAGGAUCAACUAAUUACUAGCUUGAUCAUCUCCAGCUGAGAUCGAUAUGUAUGGGAAGAUCUAGAGAGUGACUGUUCACUGCUAGCUUUGUUUAUUUUCUUGCUGCAUGCGUACGUGCACUAUAUAAUGUAAUAAUGCGUUUCAAUGUUUACAUGUAGUGUACUAUGUACACUACUUAUAUAUUUUUCAUAUAUAAUAAUCUAAUAAUGAUAAUAAUGUCGUACUGAUACAUGCGUACACACACUUGAACUUGCUGUGCCCCGUUUUUUUACUUCAAUAAGUAAUAGUAUAUGGAUGGAAUGAUAUGAGCUGUUAUUAAUUUGAAAAAAUGCCAAAUGGAAUUCUGGAAUAUAAUGAUGGAUCAGUGACGAGGCUCCAUGCGACCACGUAGUGAUGAACGUACUUCCGUACAUACGUUUUUUAUGGGCCGGCAGCACACCAUGCCUGAAAACUGAAAGAAAAAAAAACGUAAUGCAGACAUGCAUAUAUGGCCCAUCAAUUCAUUUCUUGGAUCCUAGCCCAUUAAACAAUCCAAAGGGAGAAGGAAAAAGUGCACUGAAGGUCCCUCAACUUGUCAUCGAGUUACAAAAUCAUCCUCCAACCACAAAACCAGAUAUAUAACAUCUCUCAAUUAACAAAACCGGGUCACUUUAGAUCCUCUAGCGGUUUUAACCCCGGUUUUAUCCUACGUGGCAGCUGAGUCAGCAUGGGACCCACGUGAACCCCGCAUGUCAGGGUGACCACGUCAUCACACACCAUCUCUCUCUCUCUUUCUCAGUUUCUCCCCUCUUCUCGUCUUGAAGACCUGGGCAAGCUCCUGGAGGACAUCCGCUUCUUGGUCGCCGCCAGCGGCGGCGGCGCUCGCUCCGGCGCGACAUCGGCCGCAUCGUCCGAUCCCUCCAGACGCGGCGGGGCGGUGGCGGUGCGACGGUUCCACGGCCACUGCAGACCCCGCUGAGGUGAACCGCUGAUGCCCACGCCGUCAGUGAAGCGGUAGGGCGGCCUUCUCCUCGUCCGACGAUAGGGGUGUCCGGCGCCGCGGGUGGGGGCGACGAGGCAGGGUUCUUGGAGCAGCGGAGGAGGCGGUGGGUGCCCCAGCUGAGGUUGGGGAACGAGAAGCGGUGAAGCCACGUGCGCGACAGCGACGGCGUCCUCGCUCUCCCUGUCCCCUACCCGCCAGGCCCCGACGCGGCACGAUGGCAGCGGCUGCUCGGUCGCCGCCUUGCAUGACUGCGCAGGUCCGGGGAUGUCGCAUGGACGGCCAUCCGCACGGCGUCGAUGACCUCCGCGGCGCCGCUCGGGCCGGGGGACUUCAAGCUUGUGCGACGCAUCGGCGGCCGCGACAUCGGGUGUAACACCCUACCUCCAAAAUCCGCAUUAGUCCGCUCUACACGUUGAGCGGACCCACGUUUGCAUGGUAUCCCGCUUACACUUUCGUCCUCGCUUCGUGUAAAAGGGUUAACCCGGGGAUACCAUGGUUGGAGCACCAAGGCUUAUAAGCAGGCCCUCACCCACCUAAACUUCCAAGGUGGUACUAAACCACCACUAUACAACCACUUCUGGGCCACAUGGGCCAAAUACACACUACUAGGCUUCAAACGGGCUGGGGUGUUACAUCGGGACGGUGUACCUGUGCCGCCUCCGGAGCUCACCGGCAUCCGCGGCAGUGAGGGAGAGCUGUGCCUGUACGCGAUGAAGGUGGUGGACCGGUGGGCGGUGGCGAGGAAGCAGAAGCUAGAGCGUGCGGCGGCAAAGAAGCGGAUCUUGCGGCAGCUCGACCACCCCUUCUUCCUCCACCCUCUUCGCCGACUUCGACGCCACGACUCACUUCUCCUGUGUCGUCAUGGAGUUUUGCGCCGGCGGCGACCUCCACUCUCUCAUCCACCGCAUGCCAUCCCGCCGCUUCCCGCUCCCCUCCGCCCACUUCUACGCAGCCGAGGUGCUCCUCGCCAUCAAGUACCUCCACAUGAUAGGCGACAUCGACGACGAGCAGGAUGACACGGCUGGCGGUGGCGCGUCCUGCUUCCCAGACCACCUCCUCCAGUUCAAGCGGCGGCGGCGGCGCCUCUGCGGUUCGUGGCCGAGCCGGUGAAGGCGAGGUCGUGCUCGUUUGUCGGGACGCACGACUCACGAAUAUGUCGCCCCCAAGGUGGCGAGCGGCGACGCACAUGGCACCGCCGUGGAGUCGUGCAAGGCGGCGUUCGCAACGCCGCCACGAAGCCGGCCUGCCCAGAGUCCAGAGUCCAGAGAGAAGAGAGAGAGAGGAGGAGGAGGAAAGGAGAGGCUGGCCUACUUACGUAGCAGCUUGACAUGUGGGGCCCACAUGGGUCCCACCCUGACUCAACCGCCACGUCGGACAAAACCGGGAUCAAAACCACCGAGGGACCUAGUUUGCACUGGUUUUGUAAGUUGUGGGAUGCGCUGUAUCUGGUUUUGCGGUUGAGGGACUAUUUUGUAACUCGAUGACAAGUUGAGGGACCUUCGGUGUACUUUUUCCAAGGGAGAAUGCUCUAUAUCCUUUUACCUCCUUUUGCCAGGCCCAUGCCACACAAAAUUUGAUUAGUUAAUCAGAAAAAAAGGGGUAAAAUGGAAAAAAAGAAGAAGAAAAGAACAAAACAAAGAACUAUUGUACACAGUUCAAUGGGAUGUUUAUUGUAAGUAGUAGUCCUCACAUAAGUUUGUGUAUACCCACUCCCCUUCUCUCGCCUUAAUUAUUAUGAAAAAAAAACUACUCUCACCUUUAUGUGAUACAUUAGUUCUGUAUAGCAGGCUCUUCAUUUGUCCCCUCUACUCCCCACUCCAUAGUUAUUAAGACCGGACCGGAGAAUUAACCAGUCGAGCUCUCGGUUCACUAGUCUGGUGGUUCGACCAUUGGUUAGGCCGGUCCAACCGCGGUUUAAUGUACAAUAUGACGUAAAUGUUUGGUACCAACAAAAGUGAAGAGAUAGAGGGUUGGGUAGUGGGUGCUCUUCUCAGCCAUGCGACCCAAGGUCGAUUUUUGAUGGAGUUUGCUCAGUGGGCUAAGGCUUUUGAUGGAGUUUGCUCAUUGGGCCUCGCCUCAGCCCAUCAACAAAAGCCUAGUAGCUUGUUACCCUGUCUGACCACUUCGGUUCAAAGCCGGGUUUAUAUAAAAAUCGCCCGGUUCAAUGGGUUUUCCCCGGUUUAAGGGGACUGGACCGGCCGAGGUCUUACCACUCCGGUUCAAAGCUCGGUUUAUAUAAAAACUGCACGAUUCAAUGGGUCUCCCCGGUUCAAUUGCGCAGUCGAUCUUUUAAGGGGACCAGACCGACCGAGGCCAUGGUUAGGGUUUUUCCCGGUCGGACCGCCAGUCCGGUCCUAAUAACUAUGCCCCACUCUUUCCUCUUAAUGUGAAAGAAUAUUUUUGUCACCAAGAUUUAUAUUCUUUUUAUGUUCAUAAACAAGGGAUACUUCUUUUUUCAUCGUAAGAGGAUGAGGUGGCCUCUCAAAAAAAAAGAGCGGGUGUGGGGAAGGGGAGUUACAAGAUAAUUUUUAUACUCUAGAAAGGUUGAGAGUAAUCUUUUUUUUCGUCAGGAGGUUAGAGAGUGCCAAAGAGGAGGGUAGGAACGAGAGGGACAGGAGGGGUCCGAGGGGAGUUUGGAGAGUGUAGGACAAAACCAAUGCUUGUGAGAGUAUAUUUUUUUUACAUCACGAGGGAAAGGGAGGGAAGAGGGAUAGGUGGGCAACUAUGAGGCUCAAUGUGUUAUUUACCGCUAAAAUAAAACUUAUCGCUUUUUUUAUUUCUCCCCUUAUUUUUCUUAUCUACUUGUGUUCUAUUCAUUGACCUGGGUCCUAGUUGGCUAGCUAGCAUUUUGUAAUAAAUCUAUCAUAUAUUUAUUGAGUUUCAACCCAAUAAAAAGAUUAAAGGACUUGUUUGGGAUGGAAAAAAAACCCUAGCCCAUAUAUUCGUAAGGACAUCCCAAGAAUUUAUUUCAAUUUACUGGUGCACCUCAAAUCAUAAUUUCAACUCUCAUCGUUUGAUAUAUAGCUAAUAGCCGUAAAAAAAAAGAACAGAGCAACUAAAAUAAUUUACAGGAUAAAACUUGUAUAUCCAUGUUGGCAAUUUAAAACACAAUGGCAAAAAACAAACCAAGAUAGAGGAAACCUGAAAAUCAACUCUCGAAUUAUGGUUGAAAAUUCAAAUUUUUGAUGUGGUUGAUAAGCCAAUUUGCAAACGCGCGGUGAUAAUAUUGUAAACGCUACAAACUGAUAGUUAAGGUCCUUGUGUUCGGGUGGCUGCCUAGGUUCUGUCGUUGACAUCUCCACUGCAAAUAGCCAUUGAUGUCACGAAAAAUUGGUCGACCACUGGAAAACAUUAUUAGUCAUCCAGACUUCAUGAUAACGCUCUUUCUCUUGUGAUAGAACCUUUUUAUCUUGGUUCAAGCCAUAGUAUAGGCACAUAUGCUUGUUUCUUUUAGAUUUAAUCUCUUGAGAGAAUAUAUAUAUAUAUACUCUACCUACAUAUACAGAUACGUUCAACAGUAAAACGUGUGCCCACCGAAGUUAUGUGAGUUAGGCCUCUAAUCUUAUUUAUCAUAUGCUAGUGAGCGUGUGACGUCCAAUUCUUUUUUUUCAAACUCUCUGUAUUAGGCCUAGUUUAGUUCCCAACUUUUUCUUCAAACUUCCAACUUUUCCAUCACAUCAAAACUUUCUACACACAUAAACUUCUAACUUUUCCAUCACAUCAUUCCAAUUUCAAUCAAACUUCUAAUUUUGACGUGAACUAAGCACACCCUUAUUUCAAAGGGAAUAGUGCUCUAUCAUACAAGCCUGAUGAAAACACCAAGGUUGUGUUUAGUUCACACUAAAAUUAAAAGUUUGGUUAAAAUUGGAACGAUGUGGCGGAAAAGUUAGAAGUUUGUGUAUGCAGGAAAAUUUUGAUGUGAUGAAAAAAUUAAAAAUUUGAAGAAAUAUUUUGAAACUAACACGGGCCAAGAUGAACCGAUGGUAGCCCUCUUUAAUUUGUCUAACGUCUACAUAGAAAGUUGGCCAUGGGUUGCUGUAGGUGGCAUCAUGAUAUGCAUUAAUACCUAGGAGGAGGAGUAACGGUUGGCAGGUAGAUCGAUACGAGAAUGACAUGAACAUAAUGGAUCGUCGGCUUCAAUUUGGAAGCCACCUGCUGGCGACCGACAGCCGUCCCGGCCGGGAGGGAUAACCUACGUCAACGAUAAAUAAAUACUCCUACUAACUGGAGUAGCUAGCAGCUUGGUCUUGUGAAAAAGAAAGAUAAAAUUCUACUACUCCAUAGUGUACGUGGUCUUAUCUAGAGCUUAAUUGGAUUGCAAAAUAGCAUACAGCUGAUUGAUUAAAAACUACGUUAAACUUAGUAACUGAAAAUUCUUAGAUUUAAUUAAUUGAUCGAUCUGCUGAGAGCUUUGCAUUGUGGAGCACAUGCCAAGCCAGCUAGUACAUUUUUGUGAUAAGAAACAUGAAGUUUCGGUUUAACCUCUUAAAUACAUGCAUGCAUGGUUGAUACAAUACACGUCCUGAACAUGAAUAAAUACUACUAAAUAUAUGUUAUCCGAAUUUUAUCAUAUAAUAUAUUUGGAUUAGUUUCUUAAUAUGACUUUUAUUCUUUUAUCCCAAUUGUAUAUCAAUCUCUUGUGCACUAACACUGGUGGAGAAGUGUUUUUUAGUCCCGUUUUAUAACCCCCUUAGUCCCGGUUUUUAAACCGGGACUACCAAUUCGAGACUAAAGAUCGCUAUCUUUAGUUCCGGGUGAAAAAACCGGGACUAAAGAUCGAUCUUUAGUCCCGGUUGGUGUUAUCAACCAGGACUAAAGAGAGGGUAGCGGCGGUCCAGCUGGUCCUUUUUUUCUUUUUUAUUUUCUCCCGAAUCGAGUGGUAUGCAUAUCGUCAAAUCAAACCCCAAAUCCACAUCACAACUCCACAGCACGAUUCACAAAUUCAUCACAAAUUCAUUCACAAUAUCCAUUCACAAUAUCACAAAUAUAUUCACAAUAUUGAUUCACAGGUUCAUUGACAACAUCGAGUCACAUACUCAUUCACAACAUCCCAGAUUCAUUCACAACAUCGAUUCAUAGAUUCAUUCACAGAUCAAAACAUCCAAACCACAAAUAAAAAAAACAAAAAAAAUCGACUCACCGGGCGGCCUCCAAUCCCGUCGCCGGCCGGCCACCCAUCUCGCCGCUUCCCCUCCGGCCGGAUCUGGGGGAGGGGAGGGCGAGGCCGCAGGCGACUGGCCUCCAUCCCGCCGGCCCGCGCCGGGCCGCCGCUGGCCGGCUUCCAUCCCGCUGGCCCACGCCCGGCCGCCGUCGGCUGCCUCUGCAAGGGGGAGGGGAGGAGGAGAGGGGGUGAGAGAAGAGCAAGGGGAGGAUGGAAGGAGAAGAAAAAGAGAUAAGCAUGGAGAGAUGUUGCGCAUGCACAUGAUUCAGAGAGAGAAGCGUGGGCUGGUGCAUGCGCUUUCUUCCCGGUUGGUGUUACCAACCGGGACUAAAGAUCCGGGGGCCUGACAAGGUAUGAUAGGUUUAGAACCGAUAUCAAAUAUAUCCGCUGUAGCCACCAACCGGGACUAAAUCUUUAGUCCCGGUUUUUAGUGGAACCGAGACUAUUGUAAAUUUCGGUCGACCGAUUAAAGAUGAUUUCUCCACCAGUGUAAAAUGUGAUGUGCUAUUGAGAUAUUUCACUGUGUUUCCUAAAAAUACUCAUCGUCGUUAAUUGUUGGUUGGCAUUCGUAGUUUAUUUUGUAGCAGCUGAGCAAUUUUAAUUAGUCUAUUUAGCUUGUAAGAUUCUUAUAUUUCUUAGCAAUAGCCGAGCGCAUUAUUGGGCUAUAGUGUAACCAGGUGAAGCGUACGCGUGUGCAUAAGUUGUCCUUGUGGUUGAAAGAAGAAUACUGGAAGGAUCGUUGGAUGUUACUGCUGAUAUGAUGGACACUUGGAUCCAAACAUCAUGAAUGCGCUCAACUACUUGCAUGUUCCAAGUGUACAACAUGCAUGCUAGCUGCUACAAACGACUAGCUCUGUUAGGCCGCUGCUAAUCAUUUUCUCAUCACUAAUACUAACACUGUGUGACUAGCUAGCUAAACCAGCCCUAACAACCAACCACCCUGAUUCAAUUGAAUUGAAUUGAAUAACAUUAGACGCACCGACGACUAAGUGCAGUCCCAACCCUCCACCUAAAAUGGUGUCUAUAUAUGGCAUUAACUAAAUUGUCAUGUAUGACUUUUAACUUAUGUGGCACUAUAUUAAUAUAUUAAUUAAGAAGGAGAGUGAAGAGAGGAAGAAACUGGGUCUCAUGCAAGACACAGCUUCAACACGAGAAUCUAUGCACUAGACACUAUCAAGUUUUGCAUUGGAAGAGAAUAGUGUCUUUAUAAUAGUUGAAGAAUAAAUAUGAUUGGUAGAGAAGAGAGAUGAUGUAUUUAUUAAUGGCCCACUUUAAGAAAUCAUGGGUUGUGGAGUGUAGUUUUUAUUGUGAUGUCUUAUUGACAUGACACCAUAGACACUGCUUAUGGACAUUAUGGGUUGGAACUGCCCUAAGAACGGUGCCUAAACACUAGCACUCCAAGCUUAAUUACACUAUGUGUACGCCAAUUAGAAAAUGUCAUGAAACAUUCUAUAAACAAAUUAGAUAUUUACUCCUAAUAGUAUUAUACAUAUCUGGAAAGUCUCAUACUCAAAUUUAAUAUAUUUUAGCUGUAACAUAAAGUGAAAAAACCCGACAGUUUUAAGGGUAAAAAUGUCAGGAUUUUAUCUUUCUUGUUAUGGCUAAAAUAUAAUGAAACUAAAGAUAAGAUUUCACAUAUAGGUGUAAAACUAUUGGAAGUAUGUGUCUAAUUUUUUCUAGAACUUUUGUGGCAUUUGCUAAUUGAUAUGUAUAGUGUGUACAUAAGUAAAGCUUCUGUGUAUAGGAUAUGUUCUCUAAUUAUAAUUAUAGGUGGACUAUAUAUUCCACGUAGUAACUACAUUUGACUUGGUCGAUGCAUCGGCACAGAUGAAAUCAUAGCUACUUAAAGCCCCCUACAUUCCCGGGAAUUCUCAUCGAUCGAUCUCACCUGCAGCAGCAAACGAGCACCACACACCAGCAGCAGCAGCAAGUCGAUCGAUCGUCAGCACACACGACCAAGAUCGAGAUGGCCCGUGCACAGCUGGUGUUGGUCGCCCUCGUGGCAGCGGCUCUGCUCCUGGCGGGCCCACACACCACCAUGGCCGCCAUCAGCUGCGGCCAGGUCAACUCCGCCGUGUCGCCCUGCCUCAGCUACGCCCGCGGCGGCUCCGGCCCGUCGGCGGCCUGCUGCAGCGGCGUCAGGAGCCUCAACUCCGCCGCCAGCACCACCGCCGACCGCCGCACCGCCUGCAACUGCCUCAAGAACGUGGCCGGCAGCAUCAGCGGCCUCAACGCCGGCAAUGCCGCCAGCAUCCCCUCCAAGUGCGG